ACAGAAUUUACUUUUCUAGCCAGAAUUUCACUCUGAGUUAAUCUCAGAGUAGUAGAUAGAUAUUCUGUAAUAUCAGGUGUAACCCCCAUGUAACCCCUGUUGGUCAAUUCAAAUCUCUCAGACUGCCACACGAGGUUUUAUUACACAAAGUGUCUUCACAUUGGCAAAGAUUAAAACAUUAGCAAAGAUGAAUAUGUUUUGUUUAGUUUAUUUUUCUAAUGAUAAGUAAACAAGUUAGUUGUUGUGAAGAGCAAUCAUGUAGAGACUUGAAAUUCUCAGAUUUAGGGGCCAAAGAGGAAUUAUGAUGGAAUUAUAAUCAAAACCAGAGAUUAUGUCAGGAUGUGUGUGUGGUGCAAAGACAGAGACAAGCCAAUUCCUGAUGACAGCGCCCUCAACAAGGCUAUUACUCAUUGGAUAGACUACUCCAGGAAAGAAAUGAAUAAAAAUUGUUAAUUAAAAUUAAUAAAUAAGAAAUG